UACGUAGGGUCCGAGCGUUGUCCGGAAUUACUGGGCGUAAAGAGCUCGUAGGUGGUUUGUCGCGUUGUCCGUGAAAACUCACAGCUCAACUGUGGGCGUGCGGGCGAUACGGGCAGACUGGAGUACUGCAGGGGAGACUGGAAUUCCUGGUGUAGCGGUGGAAUGCGCAGAUAUCAGGAGGAACACCGGUGGCGAAGGCGGGUCUCUGGGCAGUAAACUGA
rnacentral:rRNA from 1 species